rnacentral:rRNA from 2 species
AGUCGAGCGAAUGGAUUAAAAGCUUGCUCUUAUGAAGUUAGCGGCGGACGGGUGAGUAACACGUGGGUAACCUGCCCAUAAAACUGGGAUAACUCCGGGAAACCGGGGCUAAUACCGGAUAACAUUUUGAACCGCAGGGUUCGAAAUUGAAAGGCGGCUUCGGCUGUCACUUAUGGAUGGACCCGCGUCCCAUUAGCUAGUUGGUGAGGUAACGGCUCACCAAGGCAACGAUGCGUACCCAACCUGAGAGGGUGAUCGGCCACACUGGGACUGAAACACGGCCCAAACUCCUACGGGAGGCAGCAUUAGGGAAUCUUCCGCAAUGGACAAAAGUCUGACGGACCAACGCCGCGGGAGUGAUGAAGGCUUUCGGGUCGUAAAACUCUGUUGUUAGGGAAAAACAAGUGCUAUUUGAAUAAGCUGGCACCUUGACGGUACCUAACCAAAAAGCCACGGCUAACUACGUGCCAGCACCCGCGGUAAUACUUAGGUGGCAAGCGUUAUCCGGAAUUAUUGGGCGUAAAGCGCGCGCAGGUGGUUUCUUAAUUCUGAUGUGAAAGCCCACGGCUCAACCGUGGAGGGUCAUUGGAAACUGGGAGACUUGAGUGCAAAAGAGGAAAGUGGAAUUCCAUGUGUAGCGGUGAAAUGCGUAGAGAUAUGGAGGAACACCAGUGGCGAAGGCGACUUUCUGGUCUGUAACUGACACUGAGGCGCGAAAGCGUGGGGAGCAAACAGGAUUAGAUACCCUGGUUAGUCCACGCCGUAA